UGGGGAAUAUUGCACAAUGGGCGCAAGCCUGAUGCAGCCAUGCCGCGUGUGUGAAGAAGGCCUUCGGGUUGUAAAGCACUUUCAGCGAGGAGGAAGGUGGUGAACUUAAUACGUUCAUCAAUUGACGUUACUCGCAGAAGAAGCACCGGCUAACUCCGUGCCAGCAGCCGCGGUAAUACGGAGGGUGCAAGCGUUAAUCGGAAUUACUGGGCGUAAAGCGCACGCAGGCGGUUUGUUAAGUCAGAUGUGAAAUCCCCGGGCUCAACCUGGGAACUGCAUUUGAAACUGGCAAGCUAGAGUCUCGUAGAGGGGGGUAGAAUUCCAGGUGUAGCGGUGAAAUGCGUAGAGAUCUGGAGGAAUACCGGUGGCGAAGGCGGCCCCCUGGACGAAGACUGACGCUCAGGUGCGAAAGCGUGGGGAGCAAACAGAUUAGAUACCCUGGUAGUCCACGCUGUAAAACGAUGUCGAUUUUGGAGGUUGUGCCCUUGAGGCGUGGCUUCCGGAGCUAACG
rnacentral:rRNA from 1 species